GUCUGAGUGAGGAAACUUGAAGCCCUCAUCCUUCUUGAUGCCAUUUAGCCCCUCUUCGUCUGUUUCGUGUUUCAGAUGAGCCACAUGGAACUCCGGUUGGGGGUAAUCCGGGAUGUUUUCGAUGGGAAGAUGAGAAUGUUGUGAGGAACACGUGCUGACUGUCUGCUGCUUCAGAGAGGAAUGGCGCCUUUUUUCUCCCGCCCAAUUCCAAUAUGGGAACUUUAGCUGUUCUUUGGAAAGUGAAACUUCACUUGAAAACACAAACACACACAGUAGAUCCUUCUCCUAUUUCAAAAUACAACAAUUUACAUUUUACUGAUCACAUGACAGUUGUAGUUUUGUCUCUUUGGAAUACUUCUGGAAGUCAUUGUGGUCUUUUUGUGUCUCCGUUUGUGUCUUUUGUUCAGACCACCCAGAGUCUAACAUGAGCUGUUCUCCAGAAACAGGAAGUGAGACACAAACACACACAGACAGUUUGCCUGCUUCAUUGUGCAACCCUUUACAUUUGCUGGUCACAUGAAAUUUGUCCUUUUGUGUCUCAUUGUGGUCACUUUUUUGUCUUUUUGUGGUCAUUAUGUGUCUUUUUGAAGUCAUUUUGACUACUUCUCUUGAUUUUGCAUCUCUGUGUCAUCAUUUUGUGGUUCUGUUGUCAAGUUCUGUCCCUUUUUGAGGUCCUUUUUGUCAUAAUUUCGCAUCUCUUUGUCAUUAUUUUGUGUUUCUGUUAAGUUGUGUCUCUUUGUUGAUAUUUUUUGUAAUUUUGUUGUCACUUUUUGUCUCUUUGAGGUCACUUUUAGUAUUUCUCAUGAUUUUACAUCUUCAUGUCGUCAUUUUGUGUGUCUUUUUUGUCUCUGUACUCGUCUCUUUGUUGUAAAUGACUGUCAGAUGUCAAUCAUAUCAGAUUGUUGUAUAGAUACACUUUGUUGUUUGAAAUGAAAUCUGCUUGUAAUUAAUCUGCAGCUGUGCAGGCUGGAAAUGUGAAUGAAAACAACAACAAUAAUAAUAUUAAACUUCAUUUCUACA